AUGGGCGACCUUGCACACCAAACACUUAUUUAUCCACAGAUCAGCUAAGGUACUUGCAGCAGCUCUGAAAGAUUCCCAGUUUGCCUCAACCCCACUACUUCUAAGGGUACGAAUGCGGUUCAGUCUCCAUAGCCCAUUCAAUCCUUGGCCUUU
ensembl:misc_RNA